UGGUUAAGGUGUCGGCCCGUUUUGAUACCAUGUCAAGAAGUUUGAGCAAUACAUUGAGAACCUUCUUAUUCAUCAAGUAACUGAUACAAGCUCCAUAUAUACAAGUAUGUAUGUUAACUUAAAGCUUGUUAUACAAACCGGGUUACACACAAUAUAUGUCAGCUCAAUACCGGUCAAUGGUAUUAUCCAAAACGAUUCGAACCCGAAAAAGUAUCCGAAAUAAUCAGAAAAUCCGAAAAAGUCGUAAAGAUCAACAAGACUUGAGAGUAUCCAAAAAGGUAUUCAAAACCUAAAAAAUUAUCUCAAAUACUCAAUUUCGUUUAUGUUGAUCAACCCGUAAAGAUAUACUAAUCCGAAGUAUUAUUAACCGAACUCGAAUAAAUUUAGAUCAAAAAUGAAUUUAUGAUGAAAUUAUAAAAUAUAUCCAUACCCGAAGAAUUAUUAAAGGAACCCGACGCGAAAAUAUAUAAAAUCUGAAUGAGAUUGUGUCGUUUUAAAUUCCAAUUUAACCACUCAUUUGACUGGUCAAGAGCAGAGACAGGAGGAAGAAGGAAAUUUACCAUCGUAACUUUCUUAAUGGGUGCGAAAUUGCUAAAUCAAACAUCACUCCCUCUUUCUCGCGCUCACCUUUCUCCGAUCGUUGCUGCUCCUUCCAAUCGCCGGUUAGAUCAGAUUUUACAAGAAAUGUGAGCCGGAUAAUCUCAGUUGCUUCCCAUUCAUUUUUUUGUUUGCUUGGACAUUUUCUCCUACCAUUAUCACCGAAACCGUGCGUAUCUACUCUCAGUUCCUUCACAUGUCUAAGACAGAUCUCGUGUCUGAAUGUUCUGUAGAUUUCUUGUUGUCGGAAGCGAAAAUAUCAACAGGAUGGAGUUUUGUUCUGUCAUGUGUGCCCUAAUAUUUUUAUUUACAUAUUAUAUUCAUUUCAGCUUCCGUGUUUCCCACGUUAGUGCUUAUUUUCCAUUAUUUGGUGUUAAACAGGUGGUAAGUGAGAUACCUGUUUCCGUAGGUUCUCUAUAAGCUCUUUAAAAUGGAAGAAGACGAAGAAAAGAAACUCUCCAAAGUUUCUGAUGUUGAGAAUAUAAUAAAUGCAUCUGAUAAAGGAAACCCUAGUUUGAUUCCUGAUGAACAUGCUGAUGAUGAAGAUCUACAAGGGAUUAGUUUAGUUGACGCAGUCCUUGACGAUGACAACUUCGAACAAGUUUCGCUAAAAGAGGAAACGUCUCUUUCAUCAACGAGUCUAGAUCCUCUGGUUCAGUCCCCACAUAGACCCAAACCAAAGGAUACAAUGCAAAACGUUUCUCCAGAGUUGCUCCAUCUAGUUGAUUCGGCCAUCAUGGGCAAGCCUGAAAGCUUAGACAAGCUAAAGAACAUUGUCACUGGUGUUGAAAGUUUUGGGUCUGCAGAUGAUGAUGCUGAGACUAUUGCUUUCCUUGUUAUUGAUUCUCUUUUAGCUACCAUGGGUGGAGUUGAGAGCUUUGAAGAGGAUGAAGAUAGCAACCCACCUAGCGUGAUGCUGAACUCUCGUGCCGCCGUUGUAUCUGGAGAGCUUAUCCCUAACCUUCCUUGUUUGGGUGAUAGUGUUGUCUUCAUGUCUCCUAGGACACGCAUGGUGCGUGGCUUGCUUGCUAUAUUACGUUCUUGCACGAGGAACAGAGCUAUGUGUUCGAUGGCGGGACUGUUAAGUGUUCUAUUAAGAUCAGUAGAGGAGAUACUUGCCAAGGACGGUGAUAUGAAAUGGAAUGCAACACCUUUGUUGCAAUGUAUACAACACUUGGCUGGACACUCACUUAGUGUUGAAGACUUGCAUAGAUGGCUUCAUGUUAUUAAAACAUCUCUUCAAUCAGUGUUGUCAAGUCCUUUAAUGGAUGCUUUGGAGAAGGCAAUGAGUGGGAACGAAUCAAGAGGACCUUCAUGUAGCUUUGAGUUCGUUGGUGAAAGCUCAGGGCUACUUGGUCCAGGAGAAACGCGUUGGCCUUUUACUAACGGCUAUGCAUUUGCAACUUGGAUUUAUAUUGAGUCAUUUGCUGAUACUCUAAACGCUUCAACCGCAGCAGCCGCCAUUGCUGCCGCUUUAGCCGCCAAAUCAGGCAAGACAUCGGCUGCUAAUGUACAUGCUGGUGAAGGUACAGGUCUGUUCAGCUUCUUGACUCCUGAUAAUAACCAAGGAAUCGAAGUGUACUUCUAUGCACAGUUUUUAGUAGUUGAGAGUAGUAGUGGUAAAGGAAACAAAGCUUCACUUCAUUUCACUCAUGCUUUUAAGCCUCAGUGUUGGUACUUCAUUGGCCUUGAGCAUACAUGUAACCAAGGACUUUUAGGGAACUCAGAGAGUGAGCUGCGUCUGUAUAUAGACGGUUCCUUGUAUGAGACUCUUCCUUUUGAGUUUCCUCGUAUAUCCAAACCACUUUCUUCUUGUUGCAUUGGAUCAAACCCUCCUCCUCCUGCAUCUGCUGACCGUCGUCGGCGUCAGUGUGCUUUGUUUGCUGAGAUGGGACCAGUUUAUAUAUUUAAAGAAUCCAUUGGUCCUGAAAGAAUGACAAGAUUGGCAUCAAGAGGUGGUGAUGUUUUGCCUUGUUUUGGCAAUGGGGCUGGUCUUCCAUGGUUAGCUACAAAUGACCAUGUCCGUAAUGCGGCAGAGGAAAGCUGUCUUUUGGAUUCAGAGCUUGGAGUGUACAUUUACUUGCUUUACCACCCAUGUCUACUUAGUGGACGGUUCUGUCCAGAUGCUUCUCUACCUGGAGCAGCAGGUACUUUAAGACGACCAGCUGAAGUGAUUGGACAAGUCCAUGUUGCAACAAGAAUGAAGGCAGUGGAGUCUUUCUGGGCCUUAGCUUAUGGAGGACCAAUGUCUUUGCUUCCUCUAACAGUUAGCAAUGUGUGUAAAGAUACUCUUGAGCCAUCUUCUAGUAAUCUCCCAUUGUCUUUGACUACAUACUCUCUUGCUGCACCUAUCUUUAGAAUCAUCUCAGUUGCUAUCCAACAUCCUUGUAACAAUGAAGAGCUGUCUCGUACUCGAGGCCCUGAGAUUCUAGCCACCAUCCUUGGUUAUCUUCUUCACUCACUCUCUUCUCUUGAUCUCAAUCAUGAUAGAGUAGAAGACGAGGAGCUAGUUGCUUCCAUUGUCUCUGUUUGUCACUCUCAAAAGAUCAACCAUGCACUCAAAGUGCAGCUCUUCCGGACACUACUAUUGGACCUGAAGAUAUGGAGUGUGUGCCAUUACAGACUUCAGAAGAAGCUCUUGUCAUCUCUUCAAGAUAUGGUCUUCACUGAAGCAGAAGCUAUGAGAAAUGCUGAUGCUAUUCAAAUACUUCUUGAUGGAUGUAGAAGAUGUUACUGGAUGGUUCAAGAGAAAGACUCUGUCAACACUUUUUCUCUAGAUGGGGAUGUGCGACCAAUGGGGGAAAUUAAUGCAUUGGUUGAUGAGCUUUUGGUGAUUAUUGAACUUUUAAUGGGAGCAGCAUCUUCUUCCUUUGCUUCUGCUGAUGUUCAUAGAUUACUUGGCUUCAUAGUUGAUAGUCCACAGCCAAAUCAGGUGGCAAGGGUAUUGCAUCUCAUGUUCAGGUUGGUUGUACAGCCAAAUGCUGCAAAGGCUCAGACAUUUGCAGAGGUAUUUAUAACAUCAAGUGGGAUAGAAACACUUCUUGUUCUUCUGCAGAGAGAAGCUAAAAUGGGUGACGGCAACAUUGUAGAAUCUGUGUCUAAGGAUGGAACAAGAAUGACAACUGAUCAUAGUGAACAGACUCAGAACAAUGAGUCUGGUUUGGUAAAGCAGUUGGAUUCAGUUCCACAAGACACUCAUGCUCAUGAUAGUGACUCAGUUACCAUCUCCAACUCAAUGAAUGCUGACAGAACAUCGUCUGUUUCUGAAACUCCAUGUAGUAACAACACAAGGAACAAUACAAGAAACAGUGUUGAUGAUAGUGAUCGAGUUGUGGUUGGGGUCAUUAGAUUGAUUGGUGCAUUGGUAUCAAAAGGGCACUUGAAAUUUUCUCUUGGUUCCAAGUCUGAUGUCAUGAGUAACCUUAUGGGUCAUGGGUUUCAUGAAAGUGGUGGAACAAUGUUUGAUGAUAAAGUAUCAUUGCUUCUGUUUUCUCUGUUGAAAGCAUUUCAAGCAGCUCCAAAUAGGCUGAUGACUGAGAAUGUCUACACAACUUUGCUUGGGACCUCGAUCAAUGCUUCAUCAACUGAGGAUGGGGUGAACAUUUAUGAUUCAGGUCAUCGCUUUGAACACCCUCAGCUUCUGUUAAUCCUCCUGCGUUCUCUGCCAUUUGCAUCUAAGGCUCUACAAAAGCGAGCACUUCAGGAUCUUCUAUUUUUGGCUUGUAGCCAUCCGGAAAACAGGAACAGUCUCACAAAAAUGGAAGAGUGGCCUGAGUGGAUCUUGGAGACUUUGAUCUCAAACUACGAGAGAGAUGCAGGUAAACAAUCUGCUUCACCUGGCUCUGCUGAAGUGGAAAAUCUAAUUCAUAACUUCUUGAUCAUAAUGUUGGAACAUUCAAUGCGCCAAAAGGAUGGCUGGAAGGAUAUUGAGGCUACAACUCAUUGUGCAGAGUGGCUCUCUAUUGUUGGUGGGUCUAGCACUGGAGAGAAACGCAUUAGGCGUGAGGAAUCACUGCCAAUUUUCAAAAGAAGGCUUUUUGGUAGAUUGCUAGACUUUGCUGCCACAGAAUUACAAGCUCAGACUCAAGUUAUCGCUGAAGCAUCUGCUGGUGUCGCAGCAGAGAGUCUAGCACCAAAAGAAGCAAAGGCUGGAGUAGAAAACGCUGCUCAGUUUUCAGUGUUUCUCGUCGAAAACACAAUUGUGAUUUUGAUGCUUGUGGAAGAUCAUUUACGACUACAAAGCAAACAGAACUGCGCUGCAAACGCAGUUGAUGUUUCUCCAUCUCCUCUCUCUCUUGUUUAUCCCACUAACAACCGUCCACAUAUGUUGACAACAGUAGGAGAAUCAUCAGAGGUUUCUAGCAGCCGUGCUUCAGUGUCCAGUGAUUCAGGAGGGGUCCAUCUAGAUAUACUUGCUUCAAUGGCUGAUGCAAGUGGCCAGAUAUCUACCGCAGUAAUGGAGCGUCUUGCUGCAGCAGCAGCAGCUGAGCCUUAUGAAUCUGUUUCAUGCGCCUUUGUUUCAUAUGGUAGCUGUACAAUGGACUUAGCCGAGGGUUGGAAGUACAGGAGUAGACUGUGGUAUGGUGUUGGACUACCUCCUAAAACAAAUUGUUUUGGUGGUGGUGGAAGUGGCUGGGAGUCUUGGAAAGGUUCUUUACAGAAAGAUGCUCAUGGAAACUGGAUUGAACUUCCCUUGGUUAAAAAAUCAGUAUCAAUGCUUCAAGCUUUGCUGCUUGAUGAGUCUGGACUUGGAGGUGGGUUAGGAAUUGGUGGAGGAUCUGGCACUGGGAUGGGAGGGGUGUCAGCUCUCUACCAGUUGCUGGAUAGUGAUCAGCCUUUCUUAUGCAUGCUUAGAAUGGUGCUCUUGUCUUUGAGGGAAGAAGACCAUGGUGAAGAUAGCCUGUUGAUGAAAAACUUGAGUUCUGAAGAUGGUUUUUCUGGUGGACCAUUAGUUAUAAGUUCUAAUAUCUCACCAUCAGCAUUAUUGUGGAGUGUGCUAUCUCCUGUUCUAAACAUGCCAAUAUCUGAUUCAAAGAGGCAGAGAGUAUUGGUUACUACAUGUGUUCUAUAUUCUGAGGUAUGGCAUGCUGUGAGCAGAGACAAAAGGCCACUACGUAAGCAGUAUCUAGAGGCUAUAUUACCACCAUUUGUUGCAAUUCUCAGACGGUGGCGACCUCUUUUGGCUGGCAUUCAUGAACUUUCCACUGCUGACGGUUUGAAUCCUCUUGUUGUUGAUGACCGUGCUUUGGCUGCUGAUGCACUCCCCAUUGAGGCGGCUCUUUCUAUGAUAUCUCCGGAGUGGGCAGCUGCUUUUGCCUCCCCUCCUUCUGCAAUGGCACUGGCCAUGAUAGCCGCAGGUGCAGCUGGUUGGGAAGCGCCUCCACCUCCAGCACCACCAGCACCUCCAUCUCUUAGGCGAGACACUUCACUGCUUGAGCGUAAGAGUGCAAAACUUCAGAGCUUCUCCAGCUUCCAGAAGCCCUUGCAGGCUCCCAAAGAUGACACACCAGGUACACCAAGAGGUAAGGCUGCUGCAAAAGCGGCUGCUCUGGCUGCUGCACGUGAUCUUGAAAGGAGUGCCAAGAUUGGUACUGGGAGAGGUCUAAGUGCUGUUGCAAUGGCCACAUCUGGUCAGAGGAGGACUAUAAGUGACAUGGAGCGUUUGCAAAGAUGGAACAUCUCUGAAGCUAUGGGAGUGGCAUGGAUGGAAUGUCUUCAGCCAGUUGAUACAAAAUCAGUUUAUGGAAAAGACUUUAAUGCCUUGUCUUACAAGUUUAUUGCUGUGCUUGUUGCAAGCUUUGCCUUAGCACGUAACAUGCAGAGAUCUGAGAUUGAUAGGCGUAAACGAGAUGAUAAAAUAGUGAGGAAUCGCUUGUGCAUGGGAGUACGUGGAUGGCGCAAACUAGUACGUUACUUGGUAGAGAUGAGAUGCUUCUUUGGACCCUUUGGAGACCAUUUAUGCAGUCCUACACACGUUUAUUGGAAAUUGGAUUCUAUGGAAAGUUCUUUAAGGAUGAGACAGUGUUUGAGGAGGAACUACACUGGUUGUGAUCAUCCUGAGGCAGCAGUAAACUUGGAUUCUGCAUUAGAUGCACCUUUUCUUGCUGUUGAAGAAAUACCAAAGGAGAUAAUGUAUGAAGAUGAUGAAUAUAAAGAUGCAAAUGAUCUUGAACACGAAGGGAAAAAUGAAGAGAGGAUGUCUGGCUCACUUGAGGAUGCAAUAGAACUGUCAAGUGGAAUCAGUGAUCCUCGACCAUUGAGCGACCAAGAUGUGGUUCAGAAUUCUAGAGAAGUGGUUCUCAAGGAACUUGAUGAAAGGAUUGUUCUUGAAGUUUCCUCUUCUAUGGUUAGACCAUUAAGGGUUGUGAAAGGAACCUUUCAGAUUACAACAAGGAGAAUAAAUUUUCUUGUUGACAUGAGUGAAUGCCAAGAUGUAGAUGGUAAGUCAGAAGGUUCAGAAGACCAAGAAAGAGAUCGUAGUUGGUUGAUGUCUUCUCUUCAUCAGAUUUAUACCCGAAGAUAUCAACUGAGAAAGAGUGCUUUGGAACUAUUCAUGGUCGAUCGCUCAAACUUCUUAUUUGAUUUUGGGAACACUGAGGGAAAAACUAAUGCAUAUAGAACUAUAGUUCAAGCAAGGCCUCCUCAUUUAAACAAUAUUUACCUGACAGCUCAGAGGCCAGAACAGCUUUUGAGAAGAACUCAGUUAAUGGAACGAUGGUCUAGAUGGGAGAUCAGCAACUUUGAGUACUUAAUGCAGCUCAACACGUUGGCUGGGCGUAGUUAUAAUGAUAUCACUCAGUAUCCUGUUUUCCCAUGGAUUCUGUCUGACUAUACAUCACAAGUCCUGGACCUUUCAAAUCCAUCUAGCUUUAGAGAUCUUUCUAAGCCUAUUGGUGCAUUGAACCCAGAGCGGCUUAAAAAGUUUCAAGAACAAUAUACAAACUUUGAAGAUCCAGUAAUCCCCAAGUUCCAUUAUGGUUCACAUUACUCAAGUGCUGGAGCAGUGUUACAUUAUUUAGCUAGAGUUGAACCUUUUACAACAGUACUCUCAAUACAACUGCACGGUGGAAAGUUCGAUCGUGCAGACCGAAUGUUUUCAGACAUUGCAGCCACAUGGAAAGGAGUUCUACAAGAUAUGGAGAAUGUAAAGGAGCUGGUUCCAGAGUUAUUUUACCUUCCUGAGGUGUUGACCAACGAGAAUCAUACAAAGCUUGGUACUGUAAACCUUCCUCCUUGGGCUAAAACCCCUGUUGACUUUGUACACAAGCAACGAAUGGCUCUUGAGAGUGAGCAUGUCUCUGCACACUUGCAUGAAUGGAUUGAUCUCAUUUUUGGGUAUAAGCAACGUGGUAAGGAAGCUAUAACGUCAAAUAAUGUAUUCUUCUACACUACAUACGAGGGAACAGUUGAUAUUGAUAAGAUAAAGGAUCCUGUACAACAGCGAACUACUCAGGACAAGAUAGCUUACCUAGGGCAAACACCUUCCCAGCUAUUGACUGUGCCUCACAUAAAAAGAAUGCCUCUUAAAGAUGUCCUUCACAUGCAGACAAUCUUUAGGAACCCAAAGGAGAUAAAACCGUAUCCAGUUACAGCACCAGAACACUGCAACUUACCAGCAGCAGCCAUCAAGGCAUCUUCUGAUAACGUUGUGGUCGUUGACAUGAAUGGUCCUGCAGCACAUAUUGCACAGCACAAGUGGCAACCAAACACUCCCGAUGGUCAGAGUACACCUUUCAUCUUUCAUCACGCUAAGGAGGCUUCAACUGGUGUAACGUUGAUACGCAUGUUCAAAGGUGAUUCUGAGUAUCCACAAGCACAGGCUUAUGGGUCAUCAGGAAUCAGAAGUUCUUCGGUGACUGCUAUUACAAGCGACGGAGAGAUUAUCACUGGUGGACAUGUGGAUAAUAGCAUCAAGCUAGUCUCAUCUGAUGGAGCCAAAACACUGGAAACAGCUUUUAGCCACUGUGCUCCUGUAACAUGUCUGGCUUUGUCUCCAGACAGCAACUUCCUUGUCACAGGUUCAAGAGAUACAACUCUUUUGAUGUGGAGGUUUCACAAGGGACUCACUUCUCAGACAAGUGAGUCCCAACAGACAAAAAUUUCAGAGACACCUUCCUCCGCAAGCAACACCUUGGCUAACAAAGCCAAGAAGCGUCGCAUUGAAGGGCCUAUACAAGUGCUACAUGGCCACUUAAGAGAAGUAACAUGUUGCUGUGUCAGCUCAGAUCACGGAAUCGUUGUUUCUUCCUCUGCGUCAAGGGAUGUUCUGGUGCAUUCCAUAAGGAAAGGUCGACUAAUUAGACGGCUUGUUGGCGUGAAGGCCAAUGCUCUCUGCAUCUCUUCUGGUGGAGUUAUAGUGGUUUGGAGUAGAUCAGAAAGUACUAUCAGCUCGUUCACCAUCAAUGGUGUUCUCAUCUCUAAAGCCAAACUUCCUUCCUCUUGUACUAUAAGUUGCAUGGAACUGUCCAUGGAUGGCCAAAAUGUUGUGGUUGGUGUAAACUCGUUGUCCUACACUGGCGAAGAAGAUUCAUCAAGCGGAGACAAUGCGAUUAACAUACUGGACGUUCCAUCUCCUUCAAUAUGCUUCCUCAACUUAUACACUCUCAAGGUAUUAUCAGGACCGGCCUUGAGAUUUUGGAACCUUAAACAAUUUAGUAAGAGUUUUAGUAAGAAUUUUUUUAAAGAAUGUGGGAUAUGUAAUAUAUUAACUCGGAAAAGUUUAGGUCUAAUGCUAUGUUUUACUUGGCUAUGCUCAGGACCGUAUUACUAUAUUAUUCAAGACCAUAGAUGGCUCUUGAUGUUGUUGAAAGAGAACUUUGACUAACAAACAAGUAACUCUUCUUCUUGUGUAGGUAUUCCAUGUGAUGAAGCUUGGUAAAGGGCAAAAUAUAACAGCUAUGGCUCUGAACAUAGACAAUACUAACCUCUUAGUUUCCACUGAAGAUAAACAGUUGAUCAUCUUCACCAGCCCAUCUAAUCAAAUUGCUUCAAAUUGAACUCGAAGGUGGUGGAUCAGACAGUGAAACUUGGAUCGGAAUAACAUUGUAUUCAAUCAAAACCUUUCGGUAAAAUUAACGGCAAACUCACGGAACUUUACUAUGUAUAGUCAGGUUUUCACAUGUUUUCUUCGUAUGUAUUAUUAACUUAUGAUUAACAAUAACAGUAUACUGGUAUGGUACUUACAAACUAGAUGAUUACGUGGGAUAAGUACCGUAGAAA